AUCCAGCUGACGAGUCCCUAAUAGAAUGAAACAAGCGUCCUGGAU
rnacentral:hammerhead_ribozyme from 1 species